ensembl:ncRNA Y81B9A.5 ncRNA
GACCGGGAAUAGCCUAGCGGCUAGGGUGCGUGAGCGCGCCGCACCAGUCCGGGGUUCAACCCCGGCUGUGGCGGCGAUCUUUCUAAUCCUUCUGCGAAGCUGUUUCUGGUCAAAACCCUGAGUCCGGGGCGUUGGACACCCAUGUGAGUUAUGAGUUUCUCUCGUGGGAGCCAUUGAGUUCACUUAGCUGGAGCGAACGAGGAUGGGAUGAGCCGGUCAAUGCACCAAAUUAAGGCAAUUUUACCCCACAUAUAUCCUCGUGAGCACUGUCUGGUCAAUCGAUCUUCUAAGCAUGGUAAAAGCCCCCUCAGAACUUGAGUAGAUGGUGAGUGCAAUCGAUUGAUCAUCGUUCCAGCAGAGUUAACUCAGUGACAACCACGGUGGGAGCGAAUGCUCGCAUUGGGGUCCGACCCGCGGAAACAGGGUUUUCAAAAUAAGGCGACUGGCCAACCCUGUACCAAGUGGCCAAUUGGCACGGGGCGAUCCAAGAACCUAAUUUU